CGGGUGAGUAAUACAUAAUAACCUNCCCUAGACAGGGGGAGUAACUAUUGGAAACGAUAGCUAAGACCGCAUAGGUACGGACACUGCAUGGUGACCGUAUUAAAAAGUGCCUCAAAGCACUGGUAGAGGAUGGACUUAUGGCGCAUUAGCUGGUUGGCGGGGGUAACGGCCCACCAAGGCGACGAUGCGUAGCCGACCUGAGAGGGUGACCGGCCACACUGGGACUGAGACACGGCCCAGACUCCUACGGGAGGCAGCAUG
rnacentral:rRNA from 1 species